GGGCCGCUGGUCUAGUGGUAUGAUUCUCGCUUAGGGUUCACCCUGGGUUCAACUACUCCUGGAUUUCUGGGAAGUGUUCUGCGAGAGGUCCCGGGUUCAAUCCCCGGGUGGCCCC